AGUUUGCUGAGCUUCAUUCAUAAACGUUACAAAAAAAAGGUCUGUUCGUGUGGUUGCUACCAAAGUCAAAGUCAAGUACCACGUUUUAAGAAUCACAUCGUACAUUAUUUUCUAAAGCAAGUGCUACCUUAAGAUAACAAUGAUGUCUUUGUUGACUAUUAUGUUCGAUAUUUUUGUGUAUUUAGAUGGAAGUUUCAUCUUCCUCUACUUUAAUUACAUAACUUGUUCAAUUUUGCUCCCUCUUUUCGAGUCUUUUCUCUGUAAAUGAGUUUGAUUUCGAUCUGAGUUUUAAAGUGAAAGUGGGCCGUAGAGCUUAAUGCCUAUGGAACGAGUCCAGCCCAUAUCGGAUCCAAGAUCAUCCUCAACGGUCCUCUCCAUCGAGUGCCUCAAAGGCAGCUCCAAAGCCGACGAGUGGACCGGCGAUUUCCUCCAAACCGGCGACAUAGUCGAGGAGCUCCGCAUCGGCAACCCCGGCUCCCGCCGAGUCAACAGCUCCGGUUCGACCCUCAUAUUCACGGCGCCGUUCAAGAACGGCAGGAGCGGUGUCCAGAAGGUUCUCCACGACGCGUUCAAGAAGAAGGAGACCUCGAUUCUCGUCCGAGUUCGCAGGGGAGCGGAUGAGCUCGCCGAGUUACAGGCUUGCAUCGUGCCCAAUGAAUCGGCGGGGAAGAAACAGUACAUGCUCAGGUCGAUCGCUGAUCCGAAUUACACCGUUGGGUUCUUGGAUCGAACGGAAUCUGAUUGCCUCGAGCUUCAAGCUUCAAGGAGUGCCAGGAUGGUUACUGCACUAUCCAGCACUCGCCUUCAAGAUGGAUAUGUUGCAUAUCCAUGGGAGAGGAGGAUGCAGGAGUGCCUAUCAGUUCCAUUUUCAAGCUGCUUUCUUUCUGUACUUCUCCUUCCAAAAGCUUCAGAUCAAGUUGCUUCUCGCUACAAUGAUUUGGAAGAUACCCUUGCUAGGGCAAAUGCAUGGCUUAAUGCGUCUCAGGCCUCUGGGGUUCCUAUUGUCUUCAUGAACAUCCAGACUGAGUCUCUGCUUACCAAGAUCUCUGGAGAAACUGCUUCUUCCACAGUGAAUGCCGGAUCCUUAUCUGAUUUGUCUAAUCUUGCAAAUGCAAGUCUAUAUGGUUUUGAGGAUUACCACGGGGUGGACAUUGGUGUAGUUAAAGCAGUUCGUCUCUGGUAUGCACCUCUUGGAGGAGAGCUUGCAAUUGAGAUCAAGCUAAAAGAAGGCGACACAAAGCUUGGGUUUGCCAUUAGCCGCACAGAAGAGGGAUUUAUCUUCAUCUCAUCAGUUAUUGAUGGUGAUGAAAAUGCUCCUUCAACCCGGUCAGGGCUGGCGAAUUUGUACAAAGAAGCUACAAAUGCAUCUAGGCUGCUGCUGGUCUCACGAGUUGGCAAUCAGAAGGUCCUUCCAUGGAUGGUUUCUUCCACAGGAGCAAUUCGAUGCUUUGACACUGUUUCAGUCAGCCAAAAGCUUUCAUUGCACCGGCACGCCAAGGUUCCCAUUCUCUUGCAUGUUUUACUGUGGGACCGAGGAUUGUCUAUUCCAAGCGGGGGCAAUAGAUUUAGGGCUCCAACACCAGGUGCCCUGCCCUUACCGCCUGAAGUUCAGUUAGCAUCCCAUCCAAAUGAUAAUCAAAUACAGCCGUUGACACCUGAAGUUCCUACUGGGAGUCGAGAAGUUAGUGCUGGAGCUGAGGUGAGGCUUGAGCGAGACACGGCUGGGGAGCUCUCCUUUAGAUUCCAUGAUUUUUCACUUUCAAGUAAUUGGAAUAGAAAGUAGAGGGAACUACCCGCAAGACAGAACUGCAAAUUGAAAGCAUGCAAGUCAUCAACUUCUUGUGUGGAGUGUAAAAUGGCUGCAGUCUUAAAAGCAUGCAGAUAUUGAAUUGUAGCCUCUUCACCCUGUGGAAGAUUGGAACUUGUUUCUUACUGAUGGGAUUGGCAGAGAGUUCAUGAAGUUAUGCGAUUUAAGCUGCUGUCUUGCUGCUUGUUCUGUUUGUAAGAUUUCAAAACUGGAAUGAAUUGGCAGCUUGAAAUAUUAGCUGCUCAGUUAUGGUAUUACCAUACUGUAUUUAUUUACAACGCUUGUACUUGAUUUGUACAUAUUGGAAUCGAGAAUUUAAAUUUAACAUAACACAAUAGAUUUCAAAUAUUUAAAAUGUCA